rnacentral:rRNA from 1 species
UACGUAGGUGGCAAGCGUUGUCCGGAUUUACUGGGCGUAAAGAGCGCGCAGGCGGUCGUUCAAGUCGCGUGUGAAAGCCCCCGGCUCAACUGGGGAGGGUCACGCGAUACUGAUCGACUCGAAGGCAGGAGAGGGAAGUGGAAUUCCCGGUGUAGUGGUGAAAUGCGCAGAUAUCGGGAGGAACACCAAUGGCGAAGGCAGCUCGCUGGGACGUUACUGACGCUGAGACGCGAAAGCGUGGGGAGCAAACAGG